rnacentral:rRNA from 1 species
GAGUUUGAUCCUGGCUCAGGACGAACGCUGGCGGCGUGCUUAACACAUGCAAGUGGUGCGACGAACCAGGGCUUGCCCUGGGGCCAAGCCGCGAACGGGUGAGUAACACGUGAGUAACCUGCCCCGAUGACCGGGACAACCCGAGGAAACUCGGGCUAAUACCGGAUGUUGCGCACAGGCGUAAGCCUGUUCGCUAAAGGAAGCUUCGGCCUCCGCAUUGGGAGGGGCUCGCGGCCCAUUAGCUUGUUGGUGGGGUUACGGCCUACCAAGGCGACGAUGGGUAGCUGGUCUGAGAGGACGAUCAGCCACACUGGGACUGAGACACGGCCCAGACUCCUACGGGAGGCAGCAGUGGGGAAUCUUGCGCAAUGCGCGAAAGCGUGACGCAGCAACGCCGCGU